GCAUUGGUGGUAUAGUGGUCAGCUUCCCAGGCAGUUGAUCCGGGUUUGAUUCCCGGCCAAUGCA
rfam:Larimichthys crocea isolate SSNF unplaced genomic scaffold scaffold364, whole genome shotgun sequence.